rnacentral:rRNA from 1 species
ACGGGUGAGUAACACGUGGGAACCUUCCUAGGGGUACGGAACAACUCAGGGAAACUUGAGCUAAUACCGUAUACGUCCGUGAGGAGAAAGAUUUAUCGCCCUUAGACGGGCCCGCGUCGGAUUAGCUAGUUGGUGGGGUAACGGCCUACCAAGGCGACGAUCCGUAGCUGAUCUUAGAGGAUGAUCAGCCACACUGGGACUGAGACACGGCCCAGACUCCUACGGGAGGCAGCAGUGGGGAAUCUUGGACAAUGGGCGCAAGCCUGAUCCAGCCAUGCCGCGUGAGUGAAGAAGGUCUUCGGAUUGUAAAGCUCUUUUGCCAGGGACGAUAAUGACGGUACCUGGAGAAUAAGCCCCGGCAAACUUCGUGCCAGCAGCCGCGGUAAUACGAAGGGGGCUAGCGUUGUUCGGAAUUACUGGGCGUAAAGCGCACGUAGGCGGGCGAUUAAGUCAGGGGUGAAAUCCCGGAGCUCAACUCCGGAACUGCCUUUGAUACUGGUCGUCCAGAGAUCGGAAGAGGUGAGUGGAAUUCCCAGUGUAGAGGUGAAAUUCGUAGA